AGCCUGAUGCAGCCAUGCCGCGUGUGUGAAGAAGGCCCUAGGGUUGUAAAGCACUUUCAGUGGGGAGGAAAGGUUGUUGGUUAAUACCCAAUAGCUGUGACGUUACCCACAGAAGAAGCACCGGCUAACUCCGUGCCAGCAGCCGCGGUAAUACGGAGGGUGCGAGCGUUAAUCGGAAUUACUGGGCGUAAAGCGUGCGUAGGCGGCCACCUAAGUUGGAUGUGAAAGCCCCGGGCUCAACCUGGGAACUGCAUCCAAAACUGGGUGGCUGGAGUACGGGAGAGGAGUGUGGAAUUUCCUGUGUAGCGGUGAAAUGCGUAGAUAUAGGAAGGAACACCAGUGGCGAAGGCGACACUCUGGCCUGAUACUGACGCUGAGGUACGAAAGCGUGGGGAGCAAACAGGAUUAGAUACCCUGGUAGUCCACGCCGUAAACGAUGUCUACU
rnacentral:rRNA from 1 species